AUGAAAGUGGAAACUGAUCCCCUUCAUCUGGAUGUUAGGCAAAAGCUUGCCAAGUCCCUGAGCAAGAUAUAUUCCCUGCGGUGGCUGAACGUUACCGACCGUGUUAGGGACGGUCAAUAUUUGGACUUUAUACAUGACAUCAACCCACCGCCGCGGCUCCUCAGGUAUCUUAGGAUCGGCUCCGGCAUUAGCAAAUUGCCUGAGUGGAUCCGGUCACUGAAUUAUCUUACAGAGCUUUUCCUGUCUUGGACAUACUUGGAUGGUGACAAACUGUUUGGCCCAGUAUGUAAGCUGCCAAAUCUGUGGCACAUACACCUGGAGGCUUGCUACUACGUGGGUAGAGAACUAGUUGCAGAAACUGCCCACGACUUUCCAGCGCUCAAGUACCUGUACCUGAACUUUGAUAUUGAAGGUAUGGAAGUUCUCAGAUUUGAGGAAAAAUCAAUGUCAAAGCUCGAGAAACUCCAGGUGAGGUUUCUACACAGAGAAUCUAAGAUAAUCCAAGGCAUGGAGAAUUUGACAAGCCUUAAAGAUGUGGUGCUCGAAGGAAACAAAGACAACCCUGCAUUGGACGGUGCAGUGGAGCAAUUAAAGACAAUGAAUACGAAGCGCCAUGAAUCCAAUCAUAUCAAGGUUCUAGUUAAAUACGAGACCGUGCAGUGGCUCGGUGUGUAG
rnacentral:rRNA from 1 species